UGCCGCGUGUAUGAAGAAGGCCUUCGGGUUGUAAAGUACUUUCAGCGGGGAGGAAGGGAGUAAAGUUAAUACCUUUGCUCAUUGACGUUACCCGCAAAAAAAGCACCGGCUAACUCCGUGCCAGCAGCCGCGGUAAUACGGAGGGUGCAAGCGUUAAUCGGAAUUACUGGGCGUAAAGCGCACGCAGGCGGUUUGUUAAGUCAGAUGUGAAAUCCCCGGGCUCAACCUGGGAACUGCAUCUGAUACUGGCAAGCUUGAGUCUCGUAGAGGGGGGUAGAAUUCCAGGUGUAGCGGUGAAAUGCGUAGAGAUCUGGAGGAAUACCGGUGGCGAAGGCGGCCCCCUGGACGAAGACUGACGCUCAGGUGCGAAAGCGUGGGGAGCAAACAGGAUUAGAUACCCCGGUAGUCCACGCCGUAAACGAUGUCGACUUGGAGGUUGUGCCCUUGAGGCGUGGCUUCCGGAGCUAACGCGUUAAGUCGACCGCCUGGGGAGUACGGCCGCAAGGUUAAAACUCAAAUGAAUUGACGGGGGCCCGCACAAG
rnacentral:rRNA from 1 species